AGUAUCGGCGCAAAAUCUUUGACACCUGUUGUUGUAGCGUAACACGAGACAGUAGCAGGUCGUACAAACUGCAAACAAAACAACAAUAAACGUAGCAAUUUUCUGCAUUGCACGCACACACACUACCACACACACUAUGUUUGCAUUAUUUUCGAUGGGCUCAACUCGUUAUUGAUUGAAAUAUUUAAGAGCAACAAUGCGGCGCCUUUGUUUGCAUAGGUCUAUUAACAGUUUGUUUUUCAGAACAAAUAAAUAUAAUACCUCUUCUACUACAAGUCAGCCUUAUGAAAGAAUUCGAAGGACGAAUGCAACGAUUUGAGAGGCUUUGUAUUUGUUUUAGCACUUUAUGAGCUCUAAAUCUGUUUGUUUUGUUUGUUUAAAUGUUUGUUAUAGAACGGCGCCAAGUUUGGAGAUCAAAGGAUUUCAAGGAUCUAAAGCUUGCUUAACAUAAUUUAUGCAUUUAUUAACAUAAAAUUAUGUACUUCCAUAAUAUAUAUAACUAGGGGACCCGACAUUUACGAAUUUUACGCAAAAACAACUUUGCUUGAGAUGUGUUUCCAGCUUAUAGCGUUUUCAAAGGUUCUGAUGGCUGAUUUAGUGAUGGCAGUGCAAUUUUUUCAGAUGCGCAACAUAAACCGGCUAUUCAUCCGAUUCACUAUUGCAUUCGAAAGCAUGACAAUAUUGACAUUCUUUGUCCAUACUACCAAUCAUGAUUAGCGAAUGUGAUGAAUAGUAUAUUUCAGCGUCAUAUUCAAACGCAAGGCGAUUAAGCGAUACUCGUGCUAGUGCUUGAUGAUUUUGCACCCGCUGCCGUUCAUUUAGUCUGUGAGCAUCGGUCACUCGUUGAUGCGCCUCUCGUUGUCUAAAUGUAUUAUUGUAAAAAAUUCGUUUAUAAAACAUUAUCUAGUUGAUCGAAUUAGGAAUGUAAACCAUUCUUAAACCCCCUUGAAUACACAUCAGAAUCGGUCCAGCCGUUUAGAAGGAUUUAAAUUACAAGCACACGUACCAAAGAUCUAUAUAUACAGGUUAUCUAUCCUAACGUUUCUGAGGAAGAAGGCCAUCAACGUUCAAAACACACAUAAAUAUGAUGUUUACAAAUUUCAAUAAGGUGGAACAAUAAGUUCGUGGAUAUAUAAUUUUGAGUGACGUUUCGAAACUACUUGACGGAUACGAAAAACUCUAUCACCGUUGGGAAGUUACAUUAUCUGCGGUGAACAUAGGCUAUGUUAUAUUUUCAAAAAAGUUGGGUAUCCAUAAUAAAACGCCAAUAAUGUAACACCAGCUGUAAAAUAUGACUUCAAAAAAUCCUUACAUCGCGUGCUCUGCUAAAACUAUUGAUUGCAGAACAAAAUAAUGUACUACGACGUUGCAGAACAUAUAAUUAUCUACAACAAAUGUCGCGACAGCAUAUGUCUUACUGUUAUUGUUACGUGACAAUAAAUGUUCUUUUAUUUAAAA